AUUAAAAAUCUUGCUUAUAAGAUUAUUAUAAAGUUAUAAUUUAAGGUUUAAUACUUAUAAAAACAAUUUAAAAAAAUGAUAUUUAAGUAAAGUUUAUUGAAAUAAUAUAAUAAAGCUAUAGUAAAAAGUACUGUAAAGGAAAGAUGAAAUAAAAUGAAAAUUUGAAAUAAUUUAAAGCAAUUAUUAAAUUUUGUACCUUGUGUAUCAGGGAGAAUUAAAUUAAGUUCUUUUAGGUUAAGUAAAUCCCGAAAAAAAAAGAGCUAAUAUAAUAAAAAGUUAUCGUGUUAAAGAUAUUUUAAAUAUUAUUUUAGUGAUGAAAUGUUAAUCGAUUUUUUAUAUCUGGUUGUAAGUGAAUUAAAUUUAAUUUAAUGGUAUAAUCUUCGAAAUAUUAUGCUUUAAAGAAAAGGAGGGAAAAGCUUUUUUUUCUAGAAAUAAUUUCAUUGAAUUUAUAUUUAAAGUUAAUUUCUUAGUUUAAAAUUAGGCUUAGAAGCAGCCAUAUUGAUAAAGCGUUUUAGCUAAUAAAUUGAAAAAUUUAAUAUUUAUAUAAUAUAAAAUCUGUGUUAGUAACUUGCAAGUUAAUAAAUUUAUUCUGUUAAUUGUUAAAAUGAUUUUAUUAGUAGAUGUGAUGUUGUGUAAUACAAAUAUAAUUAAAAUAUAUAUAUAAGUUUUAUAGUUAAACAAAAUUUAAAUAUAUAGUUAAGGAAUUCGGCAAACAAAAUUUGCUUUUGCCUGUUUAUCAAAAACAUGUCUGUGCGAAGGUAUGUAGAGUCUGGCCUGCCCACUGAAUUAAAAAUUAUUUAAAGGGCCGCGGUAUUUUGACCGUGCGAAGGUAGCAUAAUCAUUAGUCUUUUAAUUGAAGGCUUGUAUGAAUGGUUGGACAAAAAGCAAACUGUCUUCAACUAUAAAAAUUGAAUUUGACUUUUAAGUGAAAAGGCUUAAAUAAAAUAAAGUGACGAUAAGACCCUAUAAAGCUUUAUAGUCUAAUUUUUUAUUAUAAAUUAUUGAAUUGUAUAACUUAAUUUAAAAUAAAGCUUUUUCGUUGGGGCGACGAAAAUAUAAUUAAAAUAACUGUUUUUACUCCUAUAACAAGUAUAUUUGGUUUAAAUAAAUGAUCCUUUAUUAAAGAUUAAAAGAUUAAGUUACUUUAGGGAUAACAGCGUAAUCUUCUUUGAGAGUUCAUAUCGACAAGAAGGGUUGCGACCUCGAUGUUGAAUUAAGGUUCCUUUAUGGUGUAGCAGCUAUAGUUGGAGGUCUGUUCGACCUUUGAAUCCUUACAUGAUUUGAGUUCAGACCGGCGUAAGCCAGGUCGGUUUCUAUCUUUUGUUAAAUAAAAAAAUUACUUUAGUACGAAAGGAUUGAGUAGUUAAAAAAGUUUUUAAAUUAAGAUUUAUAUUAAUUUUUAUUGCCUUGGCAGAAUUAUGCAUU
rnacentral:rRNA from 1 species